CAGGAUUAGAUACCCUGGUAGUCCACGCCGUAAACGAUGUCGACUUGGAGGUUGUGCCCUUGAGGCGUGGCUUCCGGAGCUAACGCGUUAAGUCGACCGCCUGGGGAGUACGGCCGCAAGGUUAAAACUCAAAUGAAUUGACGGGGGCCCGCACAAGCGGUGGAGCAUGUGGUUUAAUUCGAUGCAACGCGAAGAACCUUACCUACUCUUGACAUCCAGAGAACUUAGCAGAGAUGCUUUGGUGCCUUCGGGAACUCUGAGACAGGUGCUGCAUGGCUGUCGUCAGCUCGUGUUGUGAAAUGUUGGGUUAAGUCCCGCAACGAGCGCAACCCUUAUCCUUUGUUGCCAGCGGUUCGGCCGGGAACUCAAAGGAGACUGCCAGUGAUAAACUGGAGGAAGGUGGGGAUGACGUCAAGUCAUCAUGGCCCUUACGAGUAGGGCUACACACGUGCUACAAUGGCAUAUACAAAGAGAAGCGACCUCGCGAGAGCAAGCGGACCUCAUAAAGUAUGUCGUAGUCCGGAUUGGAGUCUGCAACUCGACUCCAUGAAGUCGGAAUCGCUAGUAAUCGUAGAUCAGAAUGCUACGGUGAAUACGUUCCCGGGCCUUGUACACACCGCCCGUCACACCAUGGGAGUGGGUUGCAAAAGAAGUAGGUAGCUUAACCUUCGGGAGGGCGCUUACCACUUUGUGAUUCAUGACUGGGGUGAAGUCGUAACAAGGUA
rnacentral:rRNA from 1 species